rnacentral:rRNA from 1 species
UACGAAGGGGGCUAGCGUUGCUCGGAAUCACUGGGCGUAAAGCGCACGUAGGCGGAUCGUUAAGUCAGGGGUGAAAUCCUGGAGCUCAACUCCAGAACUGCCUUUGAUACUGGCGAUCUUGAGUUCGGGAGAGGUGAGUGGAACUGCGAGUGUAGAGGUGAAAUUCGUAGAUAUUCGCAAGAACACCAGUGGCGAAGGCGGCUCACUGGCCCGAUACUGACGCUGACGGUGCGAAAGCGUGGGGAGCAAACAG